UACGUAGGUGGCGAGCGUUGUCCGGAUUUACCGGGCGUAAAGAGCGCGCAGGCGGUCGUACAAGUCGCGUGUGAAAGCCCCCGGCUCAACUGGGGAGGGUCACGCGAUACUGUUCGACUCGAAGGCAGGAGAGGGAAGUGGAAUUCCCGGUGUAGUGGUGAAAUGCGUAGAGAUUGGGAAGAACACCAGUGGCGAAGGCGGCUCACUGGCCCGAUACUGACGCUGAGGUGCGAAAGCGUGGGGAGCAAACAGG
rnacentral:rRNA from 1 species